rnacentral:rRNA from 1 species
AUUGAACGCUGGCGGCAUGCCUUACACAUGCAAGUCGAACGGUAACAGGUCUUCGGAUGCUGACGAGUGGCGAACGGGUGAGUAAUACAUCGGAACGUGCCCGAUCGUGGGGGAUAACGAGGCGAAAGCUUUGCUAAUACCGCAUACGAUCUACGGAUGAAAGCGGGGGAUCUUCGGACCUCGCGCGGACGGAGCGGCCGAUGGCAGAUUAGGUAGUUGGUGGGAUAAAAGCUUACCAAGCCGACGAUCUGUAGCUGGUCUGAGAGGAUGAUCAGCCACACUGGGACUGAGACACGGCCCAGACUCCUACGGGAGGCAGCAGUGGGGAAUUUUGGACAAUGGGCGAAAGCCUGAUCCAGCCAUGCCGCGUGCAGGAUGAAGGCCUUCGGGUUGUAAAGUGCUUUUGUAGGGAACGAAAAGCCUCUUUCUAAUAAAGAGGGGUCAUGACGGUACCGUAAGAAUAAGCACCGGCUAACUACGUG